GCCCUCCUACCGCUUCUAUUGCAGUUAUCAAUACCAAAUUUGAACCAUCGAUAGACCUCAUUAUGAAGUUUUACCAGAUGAACUUUUGUAGGAUUUCAUCGUCCCCUUGAGAAGUAAUCUCCCUUUUAUUGAUUUUUUUCAACAUGGCCCCCUCGUUGUUUUUAAAGAUAUCAUGACUUUAUUUGGACAAUAGGUAGAUCUAAUCAUGAUGUAUUACCAUAUGAGGCUGCAAAGGAUUUCAUCAUCCCCUAUGAGAGUUAUAUCCC
rnacentral:lncRNA from 1 species